CCCGACUUAAUACUUCCUCAAUGACUGAUAACCUAAAAGAGGCAUUAGCUGAGUUGUAUGUGAUCAACACAUAGUAUGAGAAAGCCCUUACGUUAUAUGCUGAUUUGAUGAAGCCUGAGAUAUUCAGCUUCAUUGAAAAACAUGGUUUACAUGAGGCCAUUCAUGAUAAGGU